CAAGUACUCCCUCCGUCCGGAAUUACUUGUCAUCAAAAUGGAUGUUUCUAGAACUAAAAUAUAUCUAGAUACAUCCAUUUCAAUGACAAGUAUUUUCGGACGGAGGGAGUACAAG
rfam:Triticum aestivum genome assembly, contig: Triticum_aestivum_CS42_TGACv1_scaffold_074953_1DL